GCCAACAGAAGCUUGAUUGAUAAUCAAGACAAUCAGACCUUGAGAAUGAGAUGGUUACAAACAAAUUUUUUCCAAAUAGUUUUUCUGUGUCAUGUCCUAGGCUUUAGAAAUUCAAAAACUGAGAACUGACUCUAGUUCUCUGCAUUAUGAUGUCAUCUGUUCUUGGAGGUAAUGAACAUAGAACACCCUUGCUGCUGCCAAAACAAGGAGGGGGCAGUUGGUGGGCUAGGUGGCAGAAAUAGACAACAGGAGAGAUAAGGCAAAAGCUAAUAGAAUUGCAGAAACAUUGGCCUUGAUAUUGCUUAACCGCUGAACCGAUACCAGCAAAUGCCCAUCUCUGGACUUCUUUUCAAGUAAAGAAAAACAGCAGCAACAACAACUUGCACUCUCUUUUUAAGACACUGAAUUUAAUUUUUUGUUUGUUAUUUCUAGAACUACUCCUAACAGACAUGAAAUGAAAUCAUUCUGCGUUUUUGCAAUAUGACCAGUGUUCUUCUAGCAUGAGGACAUCAUCUGCACUCAAUGAUUACAGCGUGAGGACUGGAUGUCAGAUCCCACAAGUUUCCCUUCUGGUUUGAUUACACCACAUCAUCCUGAUCAUGUUGCUGCUCACUUCUCCCACCUGUAAGAUGAGGAAGAAAAAUAGAGUGACAGGAAGUUGUGCACUGAGGGCCCCAGAAUUUUCACUUCUUCUGGGCACAGAACUCCCUUUUGAAUGAGAUGGGUGCAAGAACACUAUUCUGCCUGGAAUCGUUUCUUCUUCCGUAUGUUAGUAACCAGUUUCAAUACAUUUUGAUAUUUUAUUGGCAUAUUUCACCUCUGGAAAGUUUUUCUGGACUAAAUGCAAAGAAGAUAUACUGAAGUCUAAUUCAUCUAUCAAGUCAAGAAUCUACUCUUAAUUUAAAAAGAAAAAAAGAAAGAAAAAAUCACAAUUAGAGCAAA